rnacentral:tRNA from 1 species
CUAACAGAGAAAAUUGACUUACAAUCAAAAAAAGCUAAAAGCACUGUUAUA